AUACUCAAACCACAAUGAUGAUACAUAUAACAUAACAACAUUGAUACAUUUUUUACCCCCAAAAACACUGCAAAUCAUCCGUAUGUGAAAAGAAGUACCUGGAGGCGAAUGCAAGCUUCUUGAGUUUGUGCUGCAGUCAACGUUUCUACUCUACUGUGAAUCUGUGAUGGACCCUUUGUCUGCGCUUCGCGAUUUCACCGUCCGAGGAGAACUCGACAAAAUCGUCCGAGUCGGCGACGAGUUCCGGUUCGGUUCCGAUUACAUCUUCCCCUCCUCCGCCGAGACGGCCUACCGAUCGAAGCAGGGCAACCUCUACACCCUCGAAACCCUACUUUUCUUCGUCAAAAACCACCACAUCAAGCACACCGAGUACCUCCAGAAUGCCCGUACCCACCGCCUCCCUACCGUCACCCUCCCCGAUCGCAAGCCCCUCCUGGACUACCUCCAGGGCAAGGUGCUUUCUGCCGACGCCAUCGAGUUCGUCGUCCCCCCAAACCCUAAACUUCCCGACCUCUUCGAUCGCGGCUUCGAAGAAUACCGCCCUGAAGACCCCUCCUUUCACCGUGCCCCCCUCGAUGUCGAUAUCGCCGACCGUAGGGUUAAAGAUACUCGUCUCAAGGCCGACGAGUAUGUAGAUUCGAUUGCAUUGAUCAAGAGUGUGGAGAAACCCUUGAAGGAUCGAGAAUCUUUGUUGGAGUGCCGGCAUCGAGAUUUUUACAGCGUGCUCGUCGCGGCGACGCGGCGAGAGGAGGAGCGGCAGAGAAUUGAGUCGCACCAGAGGAAGGAUGGAUUGGUCGCCAAGAGUCGGCUCAUGGGUGCGGACGAGAGGGGCUUGGGGUAUGGAGAUGAGUUAGGGUAUGAUGCGACGCCGAAGCCGAAGAUGCACUUAAAGGGGAGUAAAAUCGGGGAAGGAGUUCCGAUCAUUCUGGUGCCGAGCGCGUUUCAGACGCUGAUAACGAUUUAUAAUGUGAAGGAGUUCUUGGAGGAUGGAGUGUUUAUACCGACUGAUGUGAAGGUGAAGCAGAUGAAGGGGCCGAAGCCUGACUGUGUGACAGUGCAGAAGAAGCUUAGCAGGGAUAGGGUGGUGGCGGCUUAUGAGGUCAGGGAUAAGCCGUCCGCAUUGAAAGCGGAAGAUUGGGAUAGGGUGGUGGCAGUCUUUGUUUUGGGAAAGGAGUGGCAGUUCAAGGAUUGGCCUUUUAAGGAUCAUGUUGAAAUAUUUAACAAAAUUAUUGGUUUUUACAUGCGCUUUGAAGAUGACAGUGUGGAGUCGGCGAAGAAUGUGAAACAGUGGAAUGUAAAGAUAAUCUCUAUUAGUAAGAACAAGCGACACCAGGACAGAGCUGCAGCCCUAGAAGUGUGGGAUAGAUUAGAAGAAUUCGUGCGGUCACGAUCACAUUCUUGAAGUAUUAAAGUUUUAGAAUGCAAAUGAGGAUUAAAAGGCAGCAUUUGAUACUCCCUCAAUUUGGCAGUCCUAUUGUGGAGAUGAGUGUCUUAAAUUUCUACAAAUUAGUAUAGUGUGAUUGUUUUAAGGCGGAGGCUCAGGGUUACCAAAGAGCACUAACGCCUAGUGAACUGCAUACUGAUGUGAACAUUCCGAUACAUGGAUCACAGGAUGUAGCAGCGCAAGUAUGCAUUCCUCUCUUACAUGUCACAUCUGUAUUAUUGUUGUGUUAAUGGUAGAAACAUAAGGAAGAUGCUUAUUAGGAAGUUCUUUUAUCUUUUUCAGCAUGUAAAUUUUGCUUUUCCCUUGGCUCUCAAGUCAAUUGCAUCAAUGUUGAUGCUACAUUCUGUGUAGUGUGUUGCAUUUGUUUUUAACUCGAGGAUACUUAGUUUAUGAUUGGUGCACAAUUGAUUUAUUUUUUGCUCCUUGAUCUCAAGUCAAGUUCCUAGUGCACAUUCAUAAGCCUGGAAUCUUAUUUUAUUGAAAUUAGAAGAGAUCAUGGAGUCUCUUCUGGCAUACAAAGGUAAUAUCAACCAACCCAUAAAAGGGUCACCAAGAUUAAAUUAUUACAUGUGCCACUCAAUCUGAGUGAAGCUGAACAAUAUAAGGGGGAGAAAAAGAAUGAAUUACUAUCAUCUAGUAUUUGUAUGGCUGGAGGGGAACUGAAGACGCUUAACAGGUGAGAGAACUGGUGGCAAAGGUUGAAGCAUAUGAUGCAGCGAACAGCAGGAAGAAGAGCAUGGACAUUGACAACUUGGUUGAAGUUCUGGUUGCUGAGCCAGUAUCUGCGGGUGGUGCUGAGUUCAAUCCAGGUUCUACACACAUGUUUAGGUUAGCAUGACUAAUCUGGGGUAGUGCUUUAAUUUAAAGAAAUUUCAACCAUAAGCAAAUAGUAUGAGCAAUAUAACGACACAACCAUGAAAUAUAUUGUACCUGAUGGAAUGCUACCGGGGGUAUUUGGUGCCCCUGAAGGAGAGUUGGCUGGCGAGGCAGCUGCACAUUUACAAAUGCAUAGGUUAGCUGAUUUUGUUAGAAUGAUCCUUUGCACCUUUACAGAUGAAUGGAUUGGCUGAUUAUUAGAAUCAUCCUUGAAACAAUAUUCACUUUUCUGUAGUGCAUGAAGUUAGUACCAUCCCAGAUUGCAGUGGGGGUAGGGUUGGAGUAGGGCUGAAGUUAGAAUCCUAUACAGAAAAAUUCUUCCCCCACCCUACCAGCAACCACCCCCAAAAGAGAAAUAAAAGAGAGGAAGAAACUCUAUUACUAGUUUUUGGUGUUUUGUCUUAGAUUCAUCCAUAGCAGUUCUGGCAUAAACUAUGUCAGAAAUUUAUGAACAGGUGCGGAUGCAGUUGGCAAUGAGAAAAGGGAGAGAAAUGUUUUGGCAUUUUAUCUUAGAUGCAUCCAUAGCAGUUCUGGCAUAAACUAUGUCAGAAAUUUAUGAACAGGUGUGGACGCAGUUGACAAUGAGAAAAGGGGGAGAAAAAUGUAUGCAUUCUGUGAUUUACGCACCGUUACAGCUGCUGAGAGGUGGAGUUUGAACUUUGCAAGCAUUGGGGAGACCGAGGGCCAGAGUUUCAUUGAUAUUGAGCCCUGCAGCUGCUCCUUGGAGAUUGAGUGCUUCGCACAAGCACUUUGGCUGAGAUUGAACAACACCAGCAAGCUGCGUACAGCACCCUGUUGAUGGGGUCGAGGAGUUCCCCGUUAGGUAGCUAAGGCAUGGUGCCAAGCUGAUUAGCACGCUGGUGCAAUCAGACUGAGCCAUGGCUCCUGUACAGAGCAGGCUGAGUAGGACCAGGGCUAGACCCAUCUCAAUCCUUUUGUGUGCCAUUUCUGCAAAAAUUGGUGGUGGAAAUGGUUGUGGAGUGGGUGGAUUGGUU